rnacentral:rRNA from 1 species
AUUGAACGCUGGCGGCAGGCCUAACACAUGCAAGUCGAACGAGUGGCGGACGGGUGAGUAAUGUCUGGGAAACUGCCCGAUGGAGGGGGAUAACUACUGGAAACGGUAGCUAAUACCGCAUACCAUCGAAUGUGCCCAGAUGGGAUUAGCUAGUAGGUUGGGUAAAGGCUCACCUAGGCGACGAUCCCUAGCUGGUCUGAGAGGAUGACCAGCCACACUGUAACUGAGAAACGGUCCAGACUCCUACGUGAGGCAGCAGGGGGGAAUAUUGCACAAUGGGCGAAAGCCUGAUGCAGCCAUGCCGCGUGUAUGAAGAAGGCCUGCGGGUUGUAAAGUACUUUCAGCGGGGAGGCGUUACCCGCAGAAGAAGCACCGGCCAACUCCGUGCCAGCAGCCGCGGUAAUAC